UAUUGGUCAAUAGCCUAACGGCUGAACCAGCAACUUGGAGGAAUGUAUAGGGAAAACUGGUAAAAUGUAAUGUACCUUGUAGUAUUAGUAAUUAAUAUGAUAUUAACUAAGUUAAUUAAAAUUCUAAGUAGAUAUGUGAUUAUGACAAUAUCUGCUGAGGUCUUGACCAAGUCACGUGCCAGCAGUCGCGGUAAUACGUGGAAGACGAGUGUUAUUCAUCUUUAAUAGGUUUAAAGGGUACCUAGACGGUUAAUUAAGCAAUAAAAUGUACUAAUUAACUAGAGUUUAAUGUAAGAAGGAUUGAGUACGGUGAGUGUAGAGAUAAAAUUCUUUGAUACCGCUUUGGAACUGGUAAGGGCGAAGGCAACCUUCAAUGUAAAAACUGACGUUAAGGGACGAAGGCUUAUGUGAAAUAAUAGGAUUAGAUACCCUAGUAUUUUAAGCAGAAAAUGAUGAGUGUCAUAUAUAAGAGUAUUUUUGUGUAUAAAUGAAAGUGUAAGCACUCCACCUCAAGAGUAACGUGGCAACAUGGGAACUGAAAUCAUUAGACCGUUUCUGAAACUCGUAGUGAAGUAUGUUGUUUAAUUUGAUAAUCCUCAAAUAACCUUACCACAAUUUGAAUUACUGUGUAAUAUAGUAACAAGCGUUGCACGGCUGUCAUCAGUCAAUGUUGUGAAACUUUGGUUAGAUCCAUUAAAUUGACGUAAACCCUUACUUUAUUUAUUAUAAAGUAGUUCGCCGCUAUACUGGUAGUGAUAUAUAGGACUAAGACAAGUCAU
rnacentral:rRNA from 1 species